CGGCUGUCGUAGAAAGUGUUUAACUCAGCGUUUGAAGAGUACGUUUACAAAGACUAGACCCCAGCCACAGGUUGCCGUUAAAGAGCUUCUUUCUGGGUUUUACUGAAUUGACGUACCUUCACAUUUGGCCCCUGUAUAUCCGGAUACACAGAUGCAGUGA